rnacentral:rRNA from 1 species
CCUACGGGGGGCUGCAGUGGGGAAUAUUGGACAAUGGGCGAAAGCCUGAUCCAGCCAUGCCGCGUGUGUGAAGAAGGCCUUCGGGUUGUAAAGCACUUUCAGUGGGGAAGAAAGCCUUGGGGCUAAUACCCUCGAGGAAGGACAUCACCCACAGAAGAAGCACCGGCUAACUCCGUGCCAGCAGCCGCGGUAAUACGGAGGGUGCGAGCGUUAAUCGGAAUUACUGGGCGUAAAGCGCGCGUAGGCGGUCUGAUAAGCCGGUUGUGAAAGCCCCGGGCUCAACCUGGGAACGGCAUCCGGAACUGUCAGGCUAGAGUGCAGGAGAGGAAGGUAGAAUUCCCGGUGUAGCGGUGAAAUGCGUAGAGAUCGGGAGGAAUACCAGUGGCGAAGGUGGCCUUCUGGACUGACACUGACGCUGAGGUGCGAAAGCGUGGGUAGCAAACAGGAUUAGAUACCCGGGUAGUC